ACACCGCAUUCUGAAUUGUCCCCAGAAGGCUCACUGCAGCUAUCUACAGACCAUGGGUGAUGAGCUGCACUCAGAAUCUUAACGUGGUCAGUGAAAGAAGAAUCACAUCUGUUCAUCUGAACCCAAUACAUUGCCAGUAGGUGGUCACAGCAAAACAGGAUAAAACCCAAAGAAAUGUAAUGAAACAAUUAUAGACAGCCGUGAGUAGAAAGACAUUUGUGGAUCCAGUUAAUUCUGCUUCAUCUUUGUUAUAUAAAUCUAUUUUCCAAACUUAAUGUAUUGCCUGAGCUUGUAAUAUAGGAUUAACAGAAUGUCUGCACCACUCAGGAGUCUGGAGAAAAAUGUAAGAAAGAUGUUAAUUCUCCAACAUUUUAGGUAACUAAAUAUUUUGGGCAUGAUUGAUCUCACAUAGUGCUUUGGAUUUAUGCUUUGCAUGACAGAUGGAAAUCAGAAUAUAUGCACUGAUGCUCUCCCUGAUGUUGAAAACUUCUGACUUCUGUGAAGAAUCAGAGAAAAAGAGCCAUAACACUUCCCUCCUCCUGGAGCUAACCUGGUCUUUCCUAAAAUCAUGCAGUUUCAUAGGUCAUGGCCCAGAAAACAGGAGUCCCCCCAGCUCUUCCUGCCAGUGCUACACGUACCGGGCACCGUGAGUGGAGGAGGGUUGCAAACAGUGGAAAUGUGAUGCUGCCAGAGGUCUGGGGGCAAUUAUUCCAUUCCCUCUGCAGUUGUUUGAGGUGCUUAAACAGCAUGAAGCAGAUGCCUAGGUUCUUAAUAAGGCUUCCUGGGAAAAUCCACACUGUUUCAAAACCGUAUCAGAACCAAAACUACGGAAAGAUUAAUCAAGCUUGGGUCAAGAGGGAAGAAGGAUGCAAUAGCUUUUGACAGCAGUGAACUGAUAAAUGAUACACCCAACGUUGAGCUCUUUUACGAGUCAGAAUAUUCAGUGCAUCACAUCAAAAACUCCUUUAGACUAUUGACAUAUUAGAAAGAACAUGGCAAAAGAUGGUGAAGAUAAUAGAACCAUCAAAGAUACAUUUUAAAUUUACUACUUGCAUGCUUACACUAAUCUGACAAUCAUAAAGCCUUACUAUAUAUCAAAUGGAA